UACGUAGGGGGCAAGCGUUGUUCGGAUUUACUGGGCGUAAAGAGCGCGCAGGCGGUCGUUCAAGUCGCGUGUGAAAGCCCCCGGCUCAACUGGGGAGGGUCACGCGAUACUGAUCGACUGGAAGGCAGGAGAGGGUAGUGGAAUUCCCGGUGUAGUGGUGAAAUGCGUAGAUAUCGGGAGGAACACCAGUGGCGAAGGCGACUACCUGGCCUGUUCUUGACGCUGAGGCGCGAAAGCUAGGGGAGCAAACGGG
rnacentral:rRNA from 1 species